rnacentral:rRNA from 1 species
UACGUAGGGUGCAAGCGUUAAUCGGAAUUACUGGGCGUAAAGCGUGCGCAGGCGGUUUUGUAAGUCUGUCGUGAAAUCCCCGGGCUCAACCUGGGAAUUGCGAUGGAGACUGCAAGGCUAGAAUCUGGCAGAGGGGGGUAGAAUUCCACGUGUGAGCAGUGAAAAUGCGUAGAGAUGUGGAGGAACACCGAUGGCGAAGGCAGCCCCCUGGGUCAAGAUUGACGCUCAUGCACGAAAGCGUGGGGAGCAAACAGG